GGUGGAGCGAUUUGUCUGGUUAAUUCCGAUAACGAACGAGACUCUAGCCUGCUAAAUAGGCAGUGGAUUCUUAGUCCACUGUACUUCUUAGAGGGACAAGCAGCGUCUAGCUGCACGAGAUUGAGCAAUAACAGGUCUGUGAUGCCCUUAGAUGUUCGGGGCUGCACGCGCGCUACACUGAAGGAAUCAACAUGCUUCUCAACCUUGCCCGGAAGGGCUAGGUAACCCGUUGAAACUCCUUCGUGAUUGGGAUAGGGAAUUGCAAUUAUUUCCCUUGAACGAGGAAUUCCCAGUAAGUGCCGGUCAUCAGCUCGCGCUGAAUACGUCCCUGCCCUUUGUAC
rnacentral:rRNA from 1 species